rnacentral:rRNA from 1 species
UACGUAGGUGACCAGCGUUGUCCGGAUUUACUGGGCGUAAAGGGCGCGUAGGCGGCCUUCUAAGUCGAACGUGAAAUCCCUGGGCUCAACCCAGGAACUGCGUCCGAUACUGGAAGGCUUGAAUCCGGGAGAGGGAUGUGGAAUUCCAGGUGUAGCGGUGAAAUGCGUAGAUAUCUGGAGGAACACCGGUGGCGAAGGCGACAUCCUGGACCGGUAUUGACGCUG